CCUGGACUGGUGUAACUGGUUUAACACGGCGGAAUGAUAAGACCGCAGCUCAGGGGUUCGAGUCCCUCUGGUCCGGG